rnacentral:rRNA from 1 species
UACGUAGGGUCCGAGCGUUGUCCGGAAUUGUUGGGCGUAAAGGGCUCGUAGGCGGUCUGUUGCGUCGGGAGUGAAAACUUACAGCUUAACUGUGAGCGUGCUUCCGAUACGGGCAGACUGGAGUACUGCAGGGGAGACUGGAAUUCCUGGUGUAGCGGUGGAAUGCGCAGAUAUCAGGAGGAACACCGGUGGCGAAGGCGGGUCUCUGGGCAGUAACUGACGCUGAGGAGCGAAAGCGUGGGGAGCGAACAGG